GAUGAACGCUGGCGGCGUGCCUAAUACAUGCAAGUCGAGCGAACAGGCGAGUUGCUUGCUCCUUGGACGUUAGCGGCGGACGGGUGAGUAACACGUGGGUAACCUACCUAUAAGUCUGUGAGAACUUCGGGAAACCGGAGCUGAUACUGGAUAAUAUUUCGAACCGCAUGGUUCGAUAGUGAGAGAUGGCUCUGCUAUCGCUUAUAGAUGGACCUGCGCCGUAUUAGCUAGUUGGUAGGGUAACGGCUUACCAAGGCAACGAUACGUAGCCGACCUGAGAGGGGGAUCGGCGACCCUAGAACGGCGACGAGGUGCCGACUCCUCCGGGAGGCAGCAGUAGGGAAUCUUACGAAAUGGGCGACAGACUGCCGGAGCAACGACGCGUGAGUGAUGAAGGUCUCCGGAUCGUAAAAAUCUGUUAUCAGGGAAGAACAAGCGUGUAAGUAACUGUGCACGUCUUGACGGUACCUAAUCAGAAAGCCACGGCUAACUACGUG
rnacentral:rRNA from 1 species